rnacentral:piRNA from 1 species
UUUUAAGGUAUUUGUUCUAUA